UUUGAACGCUGGCGGCAGGCUUAACACAUGCAAGUCGAGCGGAGAGAGGUAGCUUGAUACUGAUCUUAGCGGCGGACGGGUGAGUAAUGUUUAGGAAUCUGCCUAUUAGUGGGGGACAACAUUUCGAAAGGAAUGCUAAUACCGCAUACGUCCUACGGGAGAAAGCAGGGGAUCUUCGGACCUUGCGCUAAUAGAUGAGCCUACGCCGGGUUAGCUAGUUGGUGGGGUAAGGGCCUACCAAGGCGACGAUCUGUAGCGGGUCUGAGAGGAUGAGCCGCCACGCGUGGACUGAGACACGGCCCAGACUCCUACGGGAGGCAGCAGUGGGGAAUAUUGGACAAUGGGGGGAACCCUGAGCCAGCCAUGCCGCGUGUGUGAAGAAGGCCUUAUGGUUGUAAAGCACUUUAAGCGAGGAGGAGGCUACUCUAGUUAAUACCUAGGGAUAGUGGACGUUACUCGCAGAAUAAGCACCGGCUAACUCUGUGCCAGCCGCCGCGGUAA
rnacentral:rRNA from 1 species